AUUAAGAUAUAAUCUGGUAUUAUUUCUGUGUCUGUGUGAGUGGGAGUCUUUCAUCCUUGCCCUUCUCAUCCUCAUUGUGCCAACUGAAACAAACAUCUUUUGUAUUGUGUAAUGCCUAGGGAGAGGAACUUAGGAAACAAAUUGGUGCAGCAGCUUAUAUCAAGUGUACCUCUAAAACUCAACAGAAUGUCAAAGCUGUUUUUGCUACUGCAAUCAAAGUUGUGCUUCAGCCUUCGAGAAGGAAGGAGACACCGAAGCAGAGGAUCGAAGCACAGAAGUUAUGGUUGCUCAAUUGUGAGUUGCAUCACUUGUGGAGGCUGUGCUGCUUAGGACAUGGAUUUC